CGGGAGAUGGCUGAGUGGUUGAAAGCGGCGGUCUUGAAAACCGUUGAGGGUAAUACCUCCGGGGGUUCGAAUCCCUCUCUCCCGGCCA
rnacentral:tRNA from 2 species